rnacentral:rRNA from 1 species
AAUUGGAGGGCAAGUCUGGUGCCAGCAGCCGCGGUAAUUCCAGCUCCAAUAGCGUAUAUUAAAGUUGUUGCAGUUAAAAAGCUCGUAGUUGAAUUUCGGGAUCAAUAUUUCGGUCAUGCCGUUGGUAUGCACUGUUAUCAUUGAUUUCUCACCUUCUAAAGAACCGUAAUGCCAUUAAUUUGGUGUUACGGGGAAUUAGGACUGUUACCUUGAAAAAAUUAGAGUGUUUAAAGCAGGCUCACGCUUGAAUACAUUAGCACGGAAUAAUGAAAUAGGACAUCCGAUUCUAUUUUGUUGGUUUCUAGGAUCGAUGUAAUGAUUAAUAGGGAUAGUUGGGGGCAUUAGUAUUCAAUUGUCAGAGGUGAAAUUCUUGGAUUUAUUGAAGACUAACUACUGCGAAAGCAUUUGCCAAGGAUGUUUUCAUUAAUCAAGAACGAAAGUUAGGGGAUCGAAGACGAUCAGAUACCGUCGUAGUCUUAACCAUAAACUAUGCCGACUAGGGAUCGGAUGAUGUUAAUUUUUUAAUGACUCAUUCGGCGCCUUACGGGAAACCAAAGUGU